rnacentral:rRNA from 1 species
AUUGAACGCUGGCGGAAUGCUUUACACAUGCAAGUCGAACGGCAGCACGGGGGCAACCCUGGUGGCGAGUGGCGAACGGGUGAGUAAUACAUCGGAACGUGCCCAGUCGUGGGGGAUAACGUAGCGAAAGUUACGCUAAUACCGCAUACGAUCUACGGAUGAAAGCGGGGGACCGUAAGGCCUCGCGCGAUUGGAGCGGCCGAUGUCAGAUUAGGUAGUUGGUGAGGUAAAGGCUCACCAAGCCGACGAUCUGUAGCUGGUCUGAGAGGACGACCAGCCACAUUGGGACUGAGACACGGCCCGGGCUCCUACGGGAGGCAGUAGUGGGGAAUUUUGGACAAUGGGCGCAAGCCUGAUCCAGCCAUUCCGCGUGCAGGACGAAGGCCUUCGGGUUGUAAACUGCUUUUGUACGGAACGAAAAGGCUCUGGUUAAUACCUGGGGCUCAUGACGGUACCGUAAGAAUAAGCACCGGCUAACUACGUGCCAGCCGCCGCGGUAA